rnacentral:rRNA from 1 species
UGGGGAAUUGUUCACAAUGGGCGCAAGCCUGAUGACGCAACGCCGCGUGGGGGAUGAAGGUCUUCGGAUCGUAAACCCCUGUCGAAUGGGACGAAAGACUCGCGAGUGAAUACUUCGCGAGAGUGACGGUACCGUUAAAGGAAGCCACGGCUAACUCUGUGCCAGCAGCCGCGGUAAUACAGAGGUGGCAAGCGUUGUUCGGAAUUACUGGGCGUAAAGGGCGCGUAGGCGGCCCUCUAAGUCAGACGUGAAAUCCCCCGGCUUAACCUGGGAACUGCGUCUGAUACUGGAGGGCUUGAGUAUGGGAGAGGGAUGUAGAAUUCCAGGUGUAGCGGUGAAAUGCGUAGAUAUCAAGAGGAACACCUGAGGUGAAGACGGGUUGCUGGGCUGACACUGACGCUGAGGCGCGAAAGCGUGGGGAGCAAACAGGAUUAGAUACCCGCGUAGUCCCUGAGCGGGCUGGCAAGGCGCAU